CGGCAGCGGGGGCUUCGGCCUGCCGGCGAGUGGCGAACGGGUGAGUAAUGCAUCGGAACGUGCCUAGUCAUGGGGGAUAACUACGCGAAAGCGUAGCUAAUACCGCAUACGCCCUGAGGGGGAAAGUGGGGGAUCUUCGGACCUCACGUGAUUGGAGCGGCCGAUGUCAGAUUAGCUAGUUGGUGAGGUAAAGGCUCACCAAGGCGACGAUCUGUAGCGGGUCUGAGAGGAUGAUCCGCCACACUGGGACUGAGACACGGCCCAGACUCCUACGGGAGGCAGCAGUGGGGAAUUUUGGACAAUGGGCGCAAGCCUGAUCCAGCCAUGCCGCGUGAGUGAAGAAGGCCUUCGGGUUGUAAAGCUCUUUCGCAAGGGAAGAAAACGUGUGGGCUAAUAUCCUGCGCGGAUGACGGUACCUUGACAAGAAGCACCGGCUAACUACGUGCCAGCAGCCGCGGUAAUACGUAGGGUGCGAGCGUUAAUCGGAAUUACUGGGCGUAAAGCGUGCGCAGGCGGUUGUGUAAGACAGGUGUGAAAUCCCCGGGCUUAACCUGGGAACUGCGCUUGUGACUGCACGGCUAGAGUACGGCAGA
rnacentral:rRNA from 1 species